AAGAUGGCGGAGCGAAUUGCAUGGUUAUUGUUUCUACUCGAUGGAUUCGCAGAUAAUUCGGAAAUAGAUCAGAUUGGGAUCAAUAACUGUAUUGCAUACGAUCAUUUACAUGUAUUACCAGGUGUGUGUUGCCAGUAAUGGUUGAAGAUAUGCCAAACAAAUUGUGCCUCUCUAUACAGACAGAUUUCAGGUCUCAAUUUCGACUUCAAAGGUCAACAUAUCACUGAUAUCAGGAAUUCUGUACAACUGUGGAACCAUGUAUGGUACGUGACCGCACAAUGUUGGUUGGCAAAAGGAUAUUGGAAUAAGCAAAGGGACUCAACAUUACACAGUCAUUUCAACAUGUAGAGUCUUGUCAGCAAUGAUGGAGCAGUACCUGGUACUUCAGAUUUCCAGAAUCUCGUCAUGAGCUGAAGAUCAUUGCCUAUGAAUUUCAUGAAUGAUGUAGAAUGAUUGGACUGUUGAUGGAACCCACAGUGCAUGUCCUGCUUCAACAUCUGAGCAUAGGUCCUUGUUUAUCAGCAGUUUAGUUCUUCAAGCAGUCUGUGACAGUAACUUGAAAUGUUUGGACAUAUGACCUGGAUGGCCAAGUUCUGUGCAUGCAGCCCAUUUAAAUAGGAACGGCCCAGUGGCGCAUUAAAUGGACAUUUUUCGAAUGUUCUCGAGGAUUCAGCUUACCGCCUGACAAAAAAUCUUGCUUUUUGUUCAGUAUCGAGGCCAUGGACAUUUGUAUCAUUUGCAAAAGAUACUGCGAUAUUUGUGCCUUUGUUCAUGCUUUAUAGUUGAUUAACAAUUGGAAGCCAUAACCUGUUUUAUAGGAUGGUGUUAGUGGGACAAUGAAUUUUGUAAAGAUUUAAAGACUGGAAAAGAUAAUUAAAAGUCAAAAGAGUUCUGCUAUUGUUAAGCAUGCUUUAUUGAUUUGUAAUGUUAGAAAGAUAGCAUUAUUAACAGAAUAAAAUGUCCAUAAUUUGAA